rnacentral:rRNA from 1 species
ACGAACGCUGGCGGCGUGCUUAACACAUGCAAGUCGAACGGAAAGGCCCUGCUUUUGUGUGGUGCUCUAGUGGCGAACGGGGGAGUAACACGUGAGUAACCUGCCCUUGACUUUGCGAUAACUUCAGGAAACUGGGGCUAAUACUGGAUAGGAGUUCCUGCUGCAUGGUGGGGGUUGGAAAGUUUCGGCGGUUGGGGAUGGACUCGCGGUUUAUCAGCUUGUGUGUGGGGGAGGGGCUUACCAAGGCUUUGCCGGGUAGCCGGCCUGAGAGGGUGACCGGCCACAUUGGGACUGAGAUACGGCGCAGACUCCAACGGGAGGCAGCAGUGGGGAGUAUUGCACAAUGGGCGGAAGCGUGAUGCAGCAACGCUGCGUGCGGGAUGACGGGCUUCGGGUGGUAAACAGCUUUCGCCUGAAACGAAGCGUGAGUGACGGUAAUGGGUAAAGAAGCACCGGCUAACUACGUG